UCUGCCACAGGCUGGAUAGAAAAGGCCUUCUAUCAAUAAAGAGAUGACUAGCACGGCCCCUGUGCAAGGACGACAGGCAAAUUUCUGAAAUUUUCCAUAAUUUU